CACGUAGGGCGCAAGCGUUGUCCGGAAUUAUUGGGCGUAAAGAGCUCGUAGGCGGUCUGUUGCGUCCGCUGUGAAAACUCGGGGCUUAACCCCGAGCCUGCAGUGGAUACGGGCAGACUAGAGGUAGGUAGGGGAGAAUGGAAUUCCUGGUGUAGCGGUGAAAUGCGCAGAUAUCAGGAAGAACACCCGUGGCGAAGGCGGUUCUCUGGGACGGUACUGACGCUGAGACGCGAAAGCGUGGGGAGCGAACAGG
rnacentral:rRNA from 1 species